UGAUCGACCAAACACCCCUGUACAAGAGCUUCUCUGUUAAAACCCUAAAUUCAUCCGUCUACAUCAAAAAUCAAAGAAGGAAAAUCAAGUUUGAAUCAAUUUCAAGUGAAAUUAGUGAUCAUCAUACUUAGUAUAUCACAAGGCAAUUUAGGUGGAACCUCAAGUAAUCAAGGAGGAUCGGAUAACCAUUUGAAAGGAAAGCUUUAAAAGUUAUAGGUAAAGGAAUGGACUUGCGGAUGAUGAUCAAGUCUUGUUAGAGAACCGAACACGUGCUAAAAAGGAGCUUCCGCAAAGACAAAACUAUUACUUUUGUCACUGUACACUUUAGUGUUGUGUUAUCAAACUUUUGUAAAUAUGGUCUACAUGUUUUAAAAGUUAAGUAUGUUUUAUUUUAACAAUAUGGUUUUGAAACUUUAGUGAACGUCUUUUGAAGGUUUUGAACUUUAUAUAAAU